UACCCGCGGCCCGAGUGGUGCUCAUUAUUAUUGAGCCUAAAACGUCCGUAGCCGGUUCGGUAAAUUCCUGGGUAAAUCGGGUCGCUUAACGAUCCGAAUUCCGGGAGGACUGCCGAGCUCGGGACCGGGAGAGGUCGGAGGUACUCCGGGGGUAGGGGUAAAAUCCUGUAAUCCUCAGAGGACCACCAGUGGCGAAAGCGUCCGACUAGAACGGAUCCGACGGUCAGGGACGAAGCCCAAGGGCGCAAACGGG
rnacentral:rRNA from 1 species